rnacentral:rRNA from 1 species
GAUGAACGCUGGCGGCGUGCUUAACACAUGCAAGUCGAACGAAGCUCCGGACGCUUUGGCUUCGGCCAAAGCAGAAGGAAGACUGAGUGGCGGACGGGUGAGUAACGCGUGGGUAACCUGCCCUGUACAGGGGGAUAACAGUUAGAAAUGACUGCUAAUACCGCAUAAGCGCACAGUACCGCAUGGUACAGUGUGAAAAACUCCGGUGGUACAGGAUGGACCCGCGUCUGAUUAGCUAGUUGGCAGGGUAACGGCCUACCAAGGCAACGAUCAGUAGCCGACUUGAGAGAGUGAUCGGCCACAUUGGGACUGAGACACGGCCCAAACUCC